rnacentral:rRNA from 1 species
AACGAACGCUGGCGGCAUGCCUAACACAUGCAAGUCGAACGGGAUCCUGGCUUCGGUCAGGUGAGAGUGGCGGACGGGUGAGUAACGCGUGGGAACCUGCCCAGUGGUGGGGGAUAACUGCGGGAAACUGCAGCUAAUACCGCAUGAGCCCGAGAGGGGAAAGAUUUAUCGCCAUUGGAGGGGCCCGCGUUCGAUUAGGUAGUUGGUGAGGUAACGGCUCACCAAGCCGACGAUCGAUAGCUGGUCUGAGAGGAUGAUCAGCCACACUGGGACUGAGAUACGGCCCAGACUCCUACGGGAGGCAGCAGUGGGGAAUAUUGGACAAUGGGGGCAACCCUGAUCCAGCAAUGCCGCGUGAGUGAUGAAGGCCUUCGGUUGUAAAGCUACUUUUGUCCGGGACGAUGAUGACGGUACCCGGAGAAUAAGCCCCGGC